GACGAACGCUGGCGGCGUGCUUAACACAUGCAAGUCGAACGAUGAAGCCUAGCUUGCUAGGUGGAUUAGUGGCGAACGGGUGAGUAAUACGUGAGUAACCUACCUUUAACUCUGGGAUAAGCCUGGGAAACUGGGUCUAAUACCGGAUACGACCAAUCUCCGCAUGGGGUGUUGGUGGAAAGCGUUAUGUAGUGGUUAUAGAUGGGCUCACGGCCUAUCAGCUUGUUGGUGAGGUAACGGCUCACCAAGGCGACGACGGGUAGCCGGCCUGAGAGGGUGACCGGCCACACUGGGACUGAGACACGGCCCAGACUCCUACGGGAGGCAGCAGUGGGGAAUAUUGCACAAUGGGCGCAAGCCUGAUGCAGCGACGCCGCGUGAGGGAUGACGGCCUUCGGGUUGUAAACCUCUGUUAGCAGGGAAGAAGAGAAAUUGACGGUACCUGCAGAGAAAGCGCCGACUAACUACGUGCCAGCAGCCGCGGUAAUACGGAGGGUGCGAGCGUUAAUCGGAAUAACUGGGCGUAAAGGGCACGCAGGCGGUGACUUAAGUGAGGUGUGAAAGCCCCGGGCUUAACCUGGGAAUUGCAUUUCAUACUGGGUCGCUAGAGUACUUUAGGGAGGGGUAGAAUUCCACGUGUAGCGGUGAAAUGCGUAGAGAUGUGGAGGAAUACCGAAGGCGAAGGCAGCCCCUUGGGAAUGUACUGACGCUCAUGUGCGAAAGCGUGGGGAGCAAACAGG
rnacentral:rRNA from 1 species